GGUCAGCUAGCGUAAUUGCGGUAACGCAUUGGACCGGCAAUCCAAAGAUGUGGGUUCGAGUCCCACGUUGACCA